rnacentral:tRNA from 1 species
GCCCUGGUGGCACAAUGGUUAUGUGCUUGGCUGCCAACCAAAAGGUUGGUGGUUUGAACUCACUCAGAGGCU